UUGAAUGAAAGAAUGGAAAAGGGAAGCAGAGGCAUGGUGAAAAGAAGCAGGACUACGGCAGUAAGACUGGGGUUGACCACCAUGAAGGAAGUCAGACUAGCAGGGGAGAAGCUCAGGUAUGUAAGAGCUAGCGGGUAUGACAUCAUAUCCAUAUAACCAUAGGUUAGAUACGUAACACAAUUAUAUACAUAUAUGACUAUUUAGUUAUAUGCAUAUUUGUAUAUGUAUUUAUAGUCUAUGAUAGUUUAUAUACAUGAUUGUAUAUAUACACUUUAUACAUAUAUAUAUGUGUAUGUAUUUAUAUGUUUGUGUGUAUACACACACACACACACACACACCCAUAUCUAUUAUUUUUCUUUUUUCCCCUCCUUUUCCCAUCAAUGAAUUCCCAUACGUUCCACAGGAAGAGUGUUUUAAAACUCAGUUCCUUGCCCAGACCAAUGUCAGUUAGUACCACCCUCUUCUGGAUUCAGUUCAAAUUCCUGAAAAAACAAGGGUCAGAAAAGGAAGCCAGUGAAGGGUUCCUUUUGCCUGAGCUCUGGCCUAGAGGUGUGGUUCACUCUUCAGCAAUUUUCUUCUAAAAUUGGGGGGGAAGGGGGCAACUUGAUGCCCAUCCCCCCACCUUCAAAAAAUUGACAAGGAGCUUCUUCUGGCUAAAAUUAUCCGCAUUGAGGACUUUCCAAAAAAACACUGGGAGCAGAAGAUAACGUUCCUCCAUGCCUACCACCAUUCCACCACAUUUCUGAACUGUGACUCCCACUCCUCUAGUCAUCUCCUUAGCAUCACCCACCAGCACAGCUAAUGAAAUCCUCUCCCUGGCUUCUACCGCACAAUGAAUAAAGCACAGGCUAGAUGGAGUCCAAGUAAUCCCAUGUCUCCUCCUUGGCAAUGGUGUAAGGAGAGAAGACAGCCUACAUGUGGAUGGAUUCUAAGGGCAGAAAGGCCUCCCUCCUAUGUCUGUUUUCCCCUCCUCACACCUUUACUGGUGGAAAGAACACUGACAGUCACAACUGUACAAGAAUUUAAUCUGCUCUGCAAGGGACCCAGUUCAGAUGCUUAUCCAAGUGCUUGGUUAACGCGAUCUCCCUUCUACAGCCCAGACUGUGCUUGAAUUCUAUUACCCUGAUUUCCUCCUGAUAGUCAGGAGCAGGGGAAGCUAUAGAAAUGAUCUGGGCCACAGCCCCUAUGGGGAGGAAUGUAGCCCAAAAGACUCUUGUUAAGAAUCAAGUUAUUUGGCAUAAAAAUUUCCAAAUACAAACAUGGGAGGUUCAAAGGACUAGGGGGCUAGGGCUAUAAUACCACACGAACCCACAGGAACAGAAAACUGGGAAGUCUACAUAAACUGAAAUUACUAAGAAACCAUCUGUGUCUGUAAUGAUAUUAUUCAAAAUAUCACAAAGGCAAGUCUUCUCUGGUGCUGUCUCUUCCAGGAAAACAAAUGUUCCCUAGAACAACACACAUUGUACUUCACAAGCUCAAAAGGACCGACAGGUCAAGAUUACAAGAACAGGUCAGGCUAUCAGGCAAGAACUAUGAAAUCCUGCCCGUACAAUGAUUUACUCCCUCCCCUUUUUCAGAUGCCUAGAAUUUAAAAAGCAAAGAAUGGAACCAGAUUUGGAAGAAACUCAUAAAAUCUAAGUCCUCAAACAGCUCACCAGUAGUUACCAAAAUGGAAUAGAAGAUAACAGGCUAUGGGGGCGGGGGUGUACAGUUUCCAUGACAACAAGCUGGCUCGGGCAGUUUCUCCCACAAACCAGCAUUUACAAUAGAAUUCUUCCAAAGGCUGCAAAGGGCGGAGGAGAAAACACAUCUUGGUGGCCUUGCAAGAGCAUGUGCACACUGAACAAGCCUGUAUCAAAAGCAGAACCCUUGAUAGGAGGUCCAGCAAAAGCUUCAGAGACCCCCUUGGAGCUGGGAGGAGGGUAGUCCCUGUUCUCUUUUUCCUUCUCCCAAAGAGAAUCAGUUCUCUUUCCAAUUAAACAAAGGCUUGCAGAAUCAAGAUGUUACUAUGUUUAAAACAAUAAGGGAAGACACCUGACUUUUCCUUCAAGAGGGAACCCAUGCACAAUGCCCGUCCCUUACAGGUCAAUGAAGUUAUACCAAGACAUUGUGUGGGACUAACUUCUGCAAACCCAAACGGGAAUCACACCCUUGGGAAACAAUAAACUUUAUGCUAUUCUAAUCAUCCUAGGUUUAGCACUUCCAGAUGUGGCUUUGAUCUUUCAGCCUGCCCAUCUUUGCCAGGCUUGAAGGAUACACUUUCCAGUUCUUCUUUCAGGUAAUAGGAUUCUCCACUGUCCAGGAAGCAAAGAUCCCAAGGGAGGAGGUGGGAACACAGAAGCAUUUUGGUCACUUUAGAAGAUGGCCAACCAGAGUUUCAGCUCUGAAAAGUUUGGUUUAAAUGCUACCAUCCUCCAGGCCGGAAGCGCGUCUCCAAGUAAGCCAAUGCCCCUCAAAGCAAGAAACUAACAGGACACUGGCGCUUGAAGGCAGAUGAUCAGGCCCAAGGAUCCCCAUGGAGGGGAUGAGCCUAAAUCUGGCAUUCUGCUACUCUGGGGUGUCUCUUUUUGGACAAAAGCCACAGAUGAAAUUCAAAGAAAACAAGUAAUGGAAAAGUUAGGCUUGAGCCCUGAGAGUAAAGGACUGCUCCAGUUCACAGUGCUCACGAAUGUUUCUAACCAGGGAGCUACUAUGUCCUCGGGGACUUUAAAUUUCACCAGGGGGAGGAGGCAAGUUGGAAGGAAGGGAGCAGAGCUAUCUGCCCCAGGGUAAACAAAGGUGGAGUCUAAACGGAGGCACUCAGAGCAAAGGGCUAUUUGCCUCUCCUCUUAGAGUGUGUGCUCUAGCAUGAAGGGAAGAGAAAUGUAAUUAGCAGAGGAGCAAAUCUAAACCAAGAAAGGUGAUAACAGCCUGUUGCUCAGUCCCCCAGACCCCACAAACAGGAGUCACACAACAGUCAAACAUUCUAACCCCCUCCAGAGAUCAGGAAUUUGGGAAUAAGGCCAGAAUCAAACCUGUUCAAAACCCACUUACUCUUUCAAUUAAUCCUAAAUUUUUUGGACCUGAAAAAAGAGAGGGGGAAAUACCAGGGGAGGUUAGCAGAGGCACUAAAAAACAGAUAGCUGUACACUUAAAAAAUGGUUAAAAUGGUAAAAUUUACAUUAUGUGGAUUUUUACGACCACCACAACCAACACCCAACAACAAAAAGUGCAAAGGAGAUUCAAAAUUGAGAGUGGAUUUGUCAAGGUGCUACAUUAUAAAAGGGAGGUCUCCAAGGACAAAAGCAGAAAAGGAUGGACACCAGAACAACUCCUAGUCUCAGCUUUGAUCUCAUCCAGCUUCCCAACAAAGGGCUGGAUGUUCACACAAAGCAACCAGAAAAAUAAUUAAGUGCCAAUCCCACUGACAGCAUGCAAUACCAUCAGGGAGCACUGAGCUCCCAGCUCCAGAGGCAGGAGGAGCCUGUAAAACCCACAUUCCAGAAUGCCCUAAGAGGGUAACAGGUAGCCCAAGAAACACCCCUCCUUCCUCCACUUGAGGGGUUCAAAGUUCACCACAGCAGAGAAAGAUCAGUCUCUCUCCAGCUGGGGAGUGGAAGAUAUUGGUUUCAUCAGUAUUUAACUAUCACCCUACUUCCCCAUUUGGGGACUUCCUUGCUAGACCUCAACUCUGUGAGCAAAUUUGGCAGCCUCUGAGUGAGGGAGUAGCUUAAGAAACACCUGAAAGGCACUCGCCCUGCUGUCUGGAGUCAUAGGAGCCCCAAAGCAGGGUGGAGUAAAAAAAUGAGACAAAUUUUCCCUCAAGGAAAACUGCCAAAUCCUGGGGGGGUCUGUCGGGGAAAAAGGGUAUCAUCCACCCUAGAGCUAUUCCUAAACGUUGAGACUAAGACUCUGCCGCUCCAUACAUGGCUAGUUCCCUCAGCCAUCUUAUGUCUUCCCCUUUAAGGGGAUCUAGGCUCCAGAACAAAGGAGAGGAAAAAAUAUCACUAGUCAUAGUCACCCAGCCAGUCCAUCACACUUGCACUGAUAAUUAAAAGUUACGGGCAUAACAGAGAGGAAAAUCCCGAGAGAAAAGAUGACCAAGGACAACCUCCCAGUAUUUCCACACCUAUUAUAAAAAGAAAUGAGUAUUCUGACAACCUUUAAAUGUUAACGUGAGGGGCAGCUAACCCCUCCCUUUCCCCCUAAAUUAAGUCUCAGCCACUUGCAGAGAAGCAGCCAAAAAGAAAGAACGAAAAAAAAAAAAAAAAAAAACAGGAAAAGAACAAAAAUUCCAAAAAAACCACAAGCGUUCUUUCAUUAGACCUUCAAAUUCCAGCAACUGUUACUUUCCUCUAGGCCUCAAGAUUCUCCAAAACCAAACCUCAACGAAGGGGAUCAGCUCCACCCAUCAGACUGCACCCUGGACCUUGGAAAACCUUACAGUUUACUACAACUAGUAUCUCUUCUGAACAAAAAAGCAGUUUCAAGACUCGCCAUUCAUUCCAUCAACAUGUUAUGUUCUGAGUUGAACAAAUACAUAUUUACUGAACUAAAAAAACAAAGACACUAGUAGAUAACUGGGAAAGUAUCAGAGUAACAUCACUAGACAUCUCUCAGAACUCAUUACUUUGUCUCCAUCAACCAGAAACGACACAAAUCGGCACUCCAUCCGAUUCUCCGCCACAUACACCAUUAUCAGCUCUUUUGGAAAUGUACUUAACUGGUUCAGCUUGCACUGAUCACACUUCAGCAAUAAAGACUUGAUUCUGGCAAGUUCCUGCCUUCCAGGUCACCAUGGGUAGAGCCAGGCAAGUUUUGUUGGCUCCUACAUUUGCACUAACAGAGAGAGUGAAGAAGUACAUUCUCUUCUUUUCUCGCUUCACGUCGAUUGAGAGUGUGUUUAGCUGUGGCAAAGGCUCCCCCCUAAGAGAAAUGGGCCCCAGGUCGGAGGAUGAAAGGCGGUGCUGUGGCCUCAGCCUCCUCCAGGGAGGGCUCCGCGCUUCCUCUCGGCCGACUGCUGCCUCAUUUCCUGAGCAGGAGGAGGGAGGGGCGGAAAAGCUGCCACCAAGCCAGGCCGGGGGCUUUCCGGCGGUUCCCACUCCCCCAAGUCCCCACCCUUGCACGGUAAGUUCGGCAAUGCCCCUUCCAGACCAGAGAGGCACCCACCUAUUCUUACCCCCCUGGGCCGGAAACCUCAAAGGAGAGCAAAGUCCCACCCCCCUCGCGGCCCCGCUUCUCAGGGAAAUGGGGGAAGGAGAGGCUCCCGAGCCCCUCCCCCGGCCGCGCCCAGCUCCGAGGGAUUGAAUGAAUGAGCUGGGGAAAAAAGAGGAGGAAAACCACUCCCCAGGCCACAAGAGACUCAAUUCCUUCAAAGGUCAAGCCUGCACGCCCGAGCACCCAGUUCCCCUCGAUCGCUCGACGUCCAACAGAAGCUAAGCCCCACCCAUCCUCCGGGCUCCAACUUCAUCUCCGACUCUGCCGGCUGAGGACCGUGCUCCGUCGCAAAAAAAGGGACCCACUUGGAGUCCCGGCUGCUCCCGCGCCUGCCCCUUCCUCACGCGCCUCGCCCUCUCGAUGCUAAGAAAAGCCUAGACUCUCUGGGUCUCAUCUUCAAAAGAGCCCCACUCUGCAGCCUCCUUUCAAAGUCCUCUAAGGAAUUGCCAAGGAAGAGUAGAGUUCUGAGCCUCAGGAAUCUCAACCCUGAUGACCUAAGAAUCUUUACAGCUCUCUUUGAAAGUCUGAUCAGGACUUUGGAAGCAGAAAUGAGACAGUGUCAUCUGGGUGCUGAUCAGCAGGGGGCACUAUUGCACCUCCUUUUGCCCUAGUGAAGGCGAGGAAGACCUGAUCUUAGACGUUGAGAGUACCACUGCGUUCCUCAGGCUAGUAAAUUUGAACAGAUAAUCUUCUCUUGAUCCAAGGGAACAGGUGGAUUGACUCCUGAUAACCUUUAAAAGUAUGAUGGAUGGGCAGCAAGGGGCCCAAUGCUAUUGCUUUCCUGGUGAUCAACAAUACAACAAAAUAUCAACAGGUGUAUGUAUCCAUCCUGUCCCAUCCCUCCCAACUCCUCUCUUUAAAAAAAGGAUGUGGAUGCUGUCCUAACCAUGGCACUCUCCUUCCCCCUUGCCUUACUCUUCUUGUUUUAAUCAGCUUCUGAUUUCAUCUUGGACUGAAAGAAUCCUUAGACACGGUCACGUGAAUGUUUGUACUGCCACUAACUGUACACUUAAAAUGGCGAAUUUUAUAUUAUGUAUUGUCACAAUAAGAAAAGGGGGAAAAAAGGAUCUUAGACAAACUCAGAGAUUUAAAAAAAAAAGAUGCAGUUUGGACUGAACUUGUCACCCCUUUGCCCUUUCCUGUUCAAGCAGUCCUAGCAAAUCCUAUGCUUUCCAGAAAGUCUUCUCAGAUAACCAGAAUUCCCUGUGUAAACAUGCAGUUGUUGACUCCCUCCUCCAUCUCUUCCCCUUGUAUCUACAUCAAGGUAAUUUGCUCUGUUUAUUUGUUUAUUGAUCUCAAGGUCAGAAGCUGAGCUAUGACCUUCUUUCACAUUGGAAAAGCACAUUCCCCCUAAAGACGCAUAUAUAAUGUUACUGAUGGCUCUGACCCUUGCUCUCUACUUUAACCCUUGCUGCCUCCUCCUUAAUCAGCACUUUUCCCAGUUCCUGUAAACAUCUCACUUUCCCAUAAACUCACUCCCAAACUUUUUCUGUAAAAGGCCACAUGGUAAAUAUUUCUGCCUUUGUGGGUGUAGCAGCUACUCUGUUGUAGAGAGGCCCGGAGACAAUAUUUAAGUGAACCUGCAUGACAAUGUUCCAAUAAAACUUUGUACAAAACAAGUCUGUGAAGGAUUUACCCCAUAGGUGGUAGUUUGCUGACUCCAGCUUUGAGAAAAGAAACCUUUUGUCCUGCU